UUCAAAGUAUUUUUCUAGAAAUUUCAACCUUGUUAACUAUGAUAACAAUUGCGACUAUAAACAGACUCACGACCAUGGAAGGGUGUGGUGCACUCCUCAGAAUACAUAAUUGAUAAUUCCUUUCUUCCUCUCUCUCUGUAUGUCUGUAUCCUUCAAGUUGGAGAACUAUCACUUCCCUCCAGCUUUGAACCCCAAAUCGUCAAACUGUUGUGGGCGAUUACUGACGAGUAAUCAGGGUAGUGGGUCGGGUUGUUGCAGUAUGAGCGGCGGAGUAAAGAACGAGAUCGAGGAGUACACGAAGCAAAAGACUGGUUUUCGUCGGAAAAAGAAACCAACGAAGGAACGAAAACGCCGGGGCUCAAGUCCGUCGAAAAGGGAAGCAGUUGUUGACAUUGAAGAUAUUAUGUUCAGCGUAGACAAUGUUCAGAUAAUCAGGGCAUCGCUAUUGGAAUGGUACGACCGUAGCCGCAGAGAUCUUCCAUGGAGGAGAUUGGACAAAGGGGAACCUGAAACACGGGCUUAUGGUGUGUGGGUUUCAGAAAUAAUGCUGCAGCAGACGAGAGUUCAGACCGUCGUCCACUAUUACAACCGUUGGAUGAUUAAAUGGCCCACCGUUCAACAUCUCUCUCGUGCUUCUCUUGAGGAGGUGAAUGAAAUGUGGGCAGGCUUGGGGUAUUAUAGACGAGCUCGUUAUCUUUUGGAGGGUGCAAAGAUGAUAGUCAAAGAAGGUGGUAGAUUUCCUAAAACGGUUUCUACCCUUCGAAAAAUUGCUGGAAUUGGAGAAUACACAGCAGGGGCCAUUGCCUCCAUAGCAUUUGAUGAAGUGGUGCCCGUGGUCGAUGGUAAUGUGAUAAGGGUCAUUGCUCGAUUAAAAGCUAUUUCAGGAAAUCCAAAAGACCCAAAGUUGGUCAAGCAAGUUUGGAAAGCAGCUGCUCAAUUAGUUGAUCCUUCCAGGCCUGGGGACUUCAAUCAGGCACUCAUGGAACUUGGUGCAACUUUAUGCACUCCAACAAACCCAAGCUGCUCAACAUGCCCUGUGUUUGAUCACUGUGAGGCCCUUUCAAUCUCAAAGCAUGAUAAUUCAAUUCUUGUCACAGAUUAUCCCGCUAAGGGGAUAAAGACCAAACAAAGACAUGAUUAUUCUGCUGUAUGUGUGGUUGAGAUAUUGGACAAUCAGGGUACGUCUGAGUUAGAGCAAUCUAGUAGAUUUCUUCUUGUAAAGAGGCCUGAUGAAGGUUUGCUUGCUGGUCUCUGGGAGUUUCCAUCUGUCUUGUUGGAUGGAGAAGCUGAUUUAAAUACAAGGAGAGAAUCCAUUAAUAGCCACUUGAGUAAAUGCUUUGGACUUGAACUAAAAAAGAAUUUCGAAAUAGUUAUUAGAGAAGAUGUUGGAGAUUUUAUCCAUGUUUUCACGCACAUCCGUCUCAAGAUAUAUGUUGAACACUUGGUGUUAUGUUUAAAAGGUUCGAGUUACUUCUCCUUUCAUCCCUAUCUGUGCAUUAAGUAUUCAUAAACUCUGUCUUCAACUUGCUAUAAAACUUAACCUAUAUACGAUUUACUUAUUCUGUGGGCUGUCAAACAUUGUGUGCAUGUUUAUUAUCUACUUCUAUGUCACCUCUCGUGGAUGAUAUAUUGUCAAUUGUCAUAGAUGGAAAACUAUCACUGAAACUGGUCUAUGAGGAAAACCAUUAAAUGAAGUUUUGACUUUUGAAACAUUUAACCUAUAAAAUUUUAAGCUUACAAAUUCCAGUUAUCAUAUUAGUUUAGGAUUGAAUUAGUAUUUUGAGCUUCUAAUCGGUUGCCCUCUUAAAUUUGUUUUGUAUUGCUUCUUCAUUAAUGCUAUUGUGCUCAUUUUUUGUGGGCUCCCUUGGCUUCAAUGAGAGGGUAUCUUAUUUUUCUCCCCUACUAUUCUAUUUUUCUUUCCAAUGAAGUUUCUAUUCCCUAUACACACAUAAAAUAGGAAUAAAUAGCUUCUUACAUUUACAUUCUAAUCGCCAUCAAAAUUAAAUCUUAUUCUGUUUACAUUACUGCUUGAAACUUCGUGGCUCUUAAUUAUCAAUAGUGUAACAAAGGAGCACUUGAUGGUUUGUUGUUCAUAGCAUUGCGGUAACACUGUGUUUAAAUUGUUUGAAACAAAACAUCAAUUAGUCCUUAGAAUUCGGCUGCAACAGCUAUACUCAAAUCUGGAUUGAGAAAAAGGUGAAGGUAGCGAGCUGUUUCUGAAACAGGAGAAGAAAUCUAUAUUAUGGAGAUGUGUGGACAACAAGGCUAUGUCAAGCAUGGGCUUGACAUCCAGUGUGAGGAA